rnacentral:rRNA from 1 species
CGGCGACGGGUGAGUAACACGUAUCCAACCUGCCGUCUACUCUUGGCCAGCCUUCUGAAAGGAAGAUUAAUCCAGGAUGGCAUCAUGAGUUCACAUGUCCGCAUGAUUAAAGGUAUUUUCCGGUAGACGAUGGGGAUGCGUUCCAUUAGAUAGUAGGCGGGGUAACGGCCCACCUAGUCAACGAUGGAUAGGGGUUCUGAGAGGAAGGUCCCCCACAUUGGAACUGAGACACGGCCCAA